rnacentral:rRNA from 1 species
GACAGCAGUAGCCGCGGUAAUACAGAGGGUGCAAGCGUUAAUCGGAAUUACUGGGCGUAAAGCGCGCGUAGGUGGUUCGCCAAGUUGGAUGUGAAAUCCCCGGGCUCAACCUGGGAACUGCAUCCAAAACUGGCGAGCUAGAGUAUGGUAGAGGGUGGUGGAAUUUCCUGUGUAGCGGUGAAAUGCGUAGAUAUAGGAAGGAACAUCAGUGGCGAAGGCGACCACCUGGACUGAUACUGACACUGAGGUGCGAAAGCGUGGGGAGCAAACAGGAUUAGAUACCCGCGUAGUCCCUGUCUCUUAUAA